UGUAGACUUGAUCCUGGUGUUGACAGGAAGCUCCUGGUAGCCUUUUUCAUCAUGAUCCAACUCAGCGAUUGCAUCAGCUCCAGUUCCAUACAGGGCUGACGUCGGACCUCAACAUGGAAGCAGAAAAGAACAAGGGCAAACACAGAGACGUGUCGAUCACAGAACCCGUGUCCUCGAGAGCCCUUACCAAUCGUUAAUUAGCCUGACCUCUUAUUGACAGAUGAGGAAACUAUUUGUCCAAGAAUACUCAGCAGCAGGUUCCCAGAGACCAGGCUGUGUGAACGCCGUGAUCAGCUCCCCCCAUUCCUGCUCCCCCAGCAAACAAAGGGAUGUUCAUGCAGCUACCAAAGCGGGGAAGGGUCCUGCCUCCCUCUGCCUUUGGCACCUGAGCAGCAUUGGCCAGUAGCCCAUGCUGUGCCCAGGAUCAAGUGGGACCUCCCCAGUCACCUGAGAUGACAAACAUUGAGUAUGUUUCUUUAAAAACAAAGAUUCUUGAGAACCUCUUCAGGCCUAACCCUGAUCUAGGCCCUGAGGAUAUGAAGGAAGAUAGGCCCAGUCCUGCCUGUGUGGGGCUCAGAAUUCUUCCUAUCCCAGAAACAUGGUUGCAGCUACUGAUUCAGUCAUGCUGGACCUAUUAGAUGAAGAUGGGCAGAGAUGGAAGGAUGGACAGACAUAGUGAUGAGGGGAGGUUCAGGGCCCUGCCGAAAAAAAAGAUGACUAUUGAAAAGUAAUUCAGGAGACAACAAGGCCCAAGAAUAAUCACAGAAAACACUUACUGAGCUUUCCCCGUGUAGAUUCCUUACACACGUCUUUGCUCACUUAACCCUUUACCAGUGCUGAGGUGCUUAACUGUUGUCAUCCCCAUAAGGAAAUAGCACAGAGAGGUUGCCUUGCUCACAAAGGUCACACAGCUAGGAAGUGGUGAGCAAGAACCUGAGCUAAGCAGCAGGACCCUGAUGCCCAGACAUUUGGCCUGCACACUUUUUAGCUCCCUACAGAGGCUUCCAGCUGCGUUAAAACUUUGAACAGAAUAGUGUUGUCACACAUGGGUGACAAAAGGGUGAUCAGACCAAGGGGUCUAAGGGGAUAAUAUUACUUUGGCUUUUCCUGGCAAAUUUACUAUGGUCAGAGUCUGGCCUUAAAUGACCACAAAGAGGGUCUUCUUACUCAUGCAGAGACAGUAACACUUACCCGUAACAAGCUGAUGUCAACCAAAUGCAGAAAAGAUGUAUAAAAACCAAUGUAAGUGCAUUCAUUUAUUUUGAGUGGGCGUAUGUGUGAUAGUGACCAGAACGUUCACCCCUGCCCAGGGGUACCAACCAAGGAAUGGGGCACAGGCCCUGGGAGGCAUGAGUGAUGAUCUGGUGACUGCAAGGCGGAUGUGAAAUCAGGACACAGGAAAGGGGUGCAGACAGGGCAGGUCUCCUCCUGCUAAGGCAGUCUCCCCCUACGAUGCAGCAUGCCACCUGUCUGAUCAUGGCCCUCUGGACCUGGUGUUGAGCAGCAACACCAGCUGAGAUCCAAACCAACCUGGGCCCUCACCAAGUACAUGGUCUUAGCUGAGAAGCCAGUUAAUGAACAUAUCCUUAUGGGUAGGUGGCUGUUACCCAAAGACACAACAGGGUGUUCUGAGAAAACUGGA